rnacentral:rRNA from 1 species
UACGUAGGGAGCAAGCGUUGUUCGGAUUUACUGGGCGUAAAGGGCGCGUAGGCGGCAACUCAAGUCAUAUGUGAAAUCUCCGGGCUUAACUCGGAACGGUCAGAUGAUACUGUUUUGCUAGAGUGCAGAAGGGGCAAUCGGAAUUCUUGGUGUAGCGGUGAAAUGCGUAGAUAUCAAGAGGAACACCUGAGGUGAAGACGGGUUGCUGGGCUGACACUGACGCUGAGGCGCGAAAGCCAGGGGAGCAAACGGG